rnacentral:rRNA from 1 species
UACGAAGGGGGCUAGCGUUGCUCGGAAUUACUGGGCGUAAAGCGCACGUAGGCGGUCUUUUAAGUCGGGGGUGAAAUCCUGGAGCUCAACUCCAGAACUGCCUUCGAUACUGGAAGACUCGAGUCCGGGAGAGGUGAGUGGAACUGCGAGUGUAGAGGUGAAAUUCGUAGAUAUUCGCAAGAACACCAGUGGCGAAGGCGGCCCACUGGCCCGGUACUGACGCUGAGGUGCGAAAGCGUGGGGAGCAAACAGG